rnacentral:rRNA from 1 species
UACGUAGGGUGCGAGCGUUGUCCGGAAUUAUUGGGCGUAAAGAGCUCGUAGGCGGUCUGUCGCGUCUGCUGUGAAAUCCCGAGGCUCAACCUCGGGCUUGCAGUGGGUACGGGCAGGCUAGAGUGUGGUAGGGGAGAUCGGAAUUCCUGGUGUAGCGGUGAAAUGCGCAGAUAUCAGGAGGAACACCGGUGGCGAAGGCGGAUCUCUGGGCCAUUACUGACGCUGAGGAGCGAAAGCGUGGGGAGCGAACAGG